rnacentral:rRNA from 1 species
AGCGAACGCUGGCGGCGUGCUUAACACAUGCAAGUCGAACGGUGAAGCAGGAGCUUGCUCCUGUGGAUCAGUGGCGAACGGGUGAGUAACACGUGAGCAAUCUGCCCUGGACUCUGGGAUAAGCGUUGGAAACGACGUCUAAUACCGGAUACGAGGCGUGGGGGCAUCCCCAACGCCUGGAAAGAACUUCGGUCCAGGAUGAGCUCGCGGCCUAUCAGGUAGUUGGUGAGGUAACGGCUCACCAAGCCUACGACGGGUAGCCGGCCUGAGAGGGUGACCGGCCACACUGGGACUGAGACACGGCCCAGACUCCUACGGGAGGCAGCAGUGGGGAAUAUUGCACAAUGGGCGCAAGCCUGAUGCAGCAACGCCGCGUGAGGGACGACGGCCUUCGGGUUGUAAACCUCUUUUAGCAGGGAAGAAGCGAAAGUGACGGUACCUGCAGAAAAAGCACCGGCUAACUACGUGCCAGCCGCCGCAGUAACAC